UAUCCUCACAGAGCCAAAAAUGAAUCAAACUAUGAGACCUUCAGCAUUUCACUUCACAAGGGUUCCUCUAAACCAAUUGGUGAAGUUUGGAGAUGGUUCAGACAAAGGAAACUUCAGAAAUCUUCUAAAAUACAUCUGCAUGUCUAGGACUUCAGAGUGACAUCCUGGUGAGAUGCAAAAUAACCAGCUGCAGUAUUUGAAGUUAUACUUUAUGCCACAGAUCAAGUGAGGAAAAGGUAACUUU
rnacentral:lncRNA from 1 species